rnacentral:rRNA from 1 species
UGGGGAAUUUUGGACAAUGGGCGAAAGCCUGAUCCAGCAAUGCCGCGUGUGUGAAGAAGGCCUUCGGGUUGUAAAGCACUUUUGUCCGGAAAGAACUGGCUCUGGUUAAUACCUGGGGUCGAUGACGGUACCGGAAGAAUAAGGACCGGCUAACUACGUGCCAGCAGCCGCGGUAAUACGUAGGGUCCAAGCGCUAAUCGGAAUUACUGGGCGUAAAGCGUGCGCAGGCGGUUGUGCAAGACCGAUGUGAAAUCCCCGAGCUUAACUUGGGAAUUGCACUGGUGACUGCAAGGCUAGAGUGUGUCAGAGGGGGGUAGAAUUCCACGUGUAGCAGUGAAAUGCGUAGAGAUGUGGAGGGAUACCGAUGGCGAAGGCAGCCCCCUGGGAUAACACUGACGCUCAUGCACGAAAGCGUGGGGGGCAAACAGG